AGUGAACGCUGGCGGUAGGCCUAACACAUGCAAGUCGAACGGCAGCACAGGAGAGCUUGCUCUCUGGGUGGCGAGUGGCGGACGGGUGAGGAAUACAUCGAAAUCUACUUUUUCGUGGGGGAUAACGUAGGGAAACUUACGCUAAUACCGCAUACGACCUACGGGUGAAAGCAGGGGACCUUCGGGCCUUGCGCGGAUGAAUGAGCCGAUGUCGGAUUAGCUAGUUGGCGGGGUAAAGGCCCACCAAGGCGACGAUCCGUAGCUGGUCUGAGAGGAUGCUCAGCCACACUGGAACUGAGACACGGUCCAGACUCCUACGGGAGGCAGCAGUGGGGAAUAUUGGACAAUGGGCGCAAGCCUGAUCCAGCCAUACCGCGUGGGUGAAGAAGGCCUUCGGGUUGUAAAGCCCUUUUGUUGGGAAAGAAAAGCAGCAGGUUAAUACCCCGCUGUUCUGACGGUACCCAAAGAAUAAGCACCGGCUAACUUCGUGCCAGCCGCCGCCGUAACAC
rnacentral:rRNA from 1 species